GAAGCACGCCAGACCGCCGCUGGUGCAAUCUGGGAAACCAGGCACUGGAGGAACGUCCGGACUGCACAGGGCAGCGCAGCAGCCAACGGCUGUCCACCGUGAGGUGAGGAUCAGAGCAACAGAGACGAGUCGAAUCAGGCAGCAAGCCACCGACGGUGUUCUAUCGGUCGCCCGCGCAAGCGGGCCAGGCUGGCGCAAGCCAGACGGUUUGCGGCGAAAGCCGCAAAGACCAUAGUCACCCGAAGCGGGCGGCGCCCGCUUCGGGUGAAACGGGCAAUCUCUGCGCGCAGCAACACCAAGUAGGCACACGUUGACGGGGCCCCCGGAGUGUGCGGGUAGGUGGCAUCGAGCCGGCGGGGCGACCCUCGGCCCAGAUUAAUGGCGGUCACAUGCGGGCAACCGCAUGCACAGAAUCCGGCUUAUCGGCGGGCUUCACAC
rnacentral:RNase_P_RNA from 2 species